CUCACAAUUAUAACCUGAUAACAACUAUAUAGUGUUAAGGGAGAGUUUGUUUCUUUAGUGAGGAGUAAGAUGGAGAUGAUCAAGAAAGCGAGCAUGAUCCUGCUAGUAGUUGCUCUUGCAGUUGCAACAAGGCCGACAACCAUGGCUAAUGAACCCGGCUUGGGUGAGUUGGGUCAAGGCCAGUUGGUUCGAUUGUCGAUAACUGCUACCCUUUAUUACGAUAUUCCCUUUGGACAGUUUAUGGAAUUUGCUGCUGCUGCUGCUGCUGCAGCCGCGGCUGACAAAAGCAAUGGUGGUGCGCUUACUUGCAAGAAUGUAGGCCAAGGUUGCAACGUCGCCACACCAUGUUGUGCUGGGUUGUGGUGUGAUAAUCCUAUGUUGGUACUUGGGGUAUGCAAAUUCAAAGUUGAUAAACCAUCAAUGCAGCAACCUUAGCCUUUAUUUUUUCCAAAUUAUUUCUAGGGAAGGACGCAGCUCUCCUCGCCCUUUUGAGAGGCAACUGCGACGAGCCAACGAACCUACUCAGUGGCCAGAUGGUUUAUUGAUGAGGAGCGUAAGAGAUGGGCAGUAGCGCUCGUUUGACUUUGACAGAAGGUUAACGAGUUUGGAGGCUGAACUUUGGCUACGUUACGAUGGUUAGCCACCUAUAGCAAAGGCUAACAUGGUUGUGUUUGGUAAUGUUGACUUGGAGGAGAGAUGAGAGAUGUGAAUAGUGUGUAAAGGGGUAAGGCGGAGUCGAGGUUAGCAAGGAUAGAAGCAUCAUUAAGCACCCUAUGGGCAUUUAAAAGUAAGUGUGGGCGUCAAAUAGCGCUACACUUUGUAAAUAAUUCCUAUAACUAUUAGGUUGCCCAUAUCUUCCAACAA